AUUGAACGCUGGCGGCAUGCCUUACACAUGCAAGUCGAACGGCAGCGCGGGAGCAAUCCUGGCGGCGCGUGGCGAACGGGUGAGUAAUACAUCGGAACGUGCCCAAUCGAGGGGGAUAACGCAGCGAAAGCUGUGCUAAUACAGCAUACGAUCUACGGAUGAAAGCAGGGGAGCGCGAGACCUUGCGCGAAUUGAGCGGCCGAUGGCAGAUUAGGUAGUUGGUGGGGUAAAGGCUCACCAAGCCUACGAUCUGUAGCUGGUCUGAGAGGACGACCAGCCACACUGGGACUGAGACACGGCCCAGACUCCUACGGGAGGCAGCAGUGGGGAAUUUUGGACAAUGGGCGAAAGCCUGAUCCAGCCAUGCCGCGUGCAGGAUGAAGGCCUUCGGGUUGUAAACUGCUUUUGUCCGGAACGAAACGGUCUGUUCUAAUAAAGAAGGCUAAUGGCGGUACCGUAAGAAUAAGCACCGGCUAACUACGUG
rnacentral:rRNA from 1 species